rnacentral:rRNA from 1 species
UGGGGAAUUUUGCACAAUGGGGGAAACCCUGAUGCAGCGACGCCGCGUGAUAUAGAAGGCCUUCGGGUUGUAAAAAUCUUUUCUAUGGGAAGAAAAUGACAGUACCAUAGGAAUAAGGACCGGCUAAUUACGUGCCAGCAGCCGCGGUAAUACGUAAGGUCCGAGCGUUGUCCGGAAUCAUUGGGCGUAAAGGGUACGUAGGCGGGUAAGCAAGUUAGAAGUGAAAUCCUAUAGCUCAACUAUAGUAAGCUUUUAAAACUGCUCAUCUUGAGGUAUGGAAGGGAAAGUGGAAUUCCUAGUGUAGCGGUGAAAUGCGCAGAUAUUAGGAGGAAUACCGGUGGCGAAGGCGACUUUCUGGCCAUAACCUGACGCUGAGGUACGAAAGCGUGGGUAGCAAACAGG